AUUCCAUGAUGAGAGCAUUUUCGUAAUAGUUAUUUGAAUCUCUCCCACGCCUCAUACAAGGAUUUAUCAUCUAUUUGUUGGAAGGCAGUGAUCUUGGUUCGCAACAU
rfam:Gossypium hirsutum cultivar TM-1 chromosome 9, whole genome shotgun sequence